rnacentral:lncRNA from 1 species
UACAAAAAAAAAAGCCAAGAAAUAAGAUAAAAUAAAACAAAACAAUUCUGUGACUUCGGUACCAGAACUGUGACAUAAAGUAUUUCGUUACAUCAAACCAACUCGUCGAAGUUUAAGAUCCAUUGUUCAGCAACACCAAGUGUAGAGACCAGGUUCCAGCAGAAGAAUGAAACUGUGUUCCCUUGAAUGGCCUACAAUGUGGAAUCAAUUAACUGCUGUCGAUGC